rnacentral:rRNA from 2 species
AAGCAAGGAAACUUACAACAAAGAGUCCCUCCCGACUGUUUACCAAAAACACAGCACUCUGCUAACUCGUAAGAGGAUGUAUAGGGUGUGACGCCUGCCCGGUGCUCGAAGGUUAAUUGAUGGGGUUAGCAUUAGCGAAGCUCUUGAUCGAAGCCCGAGUAAACGGCGGCCGUAACUAUAACGGUCCUAAGGUAGCGAAAUUCCUUGUCGGUUAAAUACCGACCUGCAUGAAUGGCGUAACGAGAUGGGAGCUGUCUCAAAGAGGGAUCCAGUGAAAUUGUAGUGGAGGUGAAAAUUCCUCCUACCCGCGGCAAGACGGAAAGACCCCGUGGACCUUUACUACAGCUUGACACUGCUAUUUGGAUAAGAAUGUGCAGGAUAGGUGGGAGGCUUUGAGUAUAUGACGCCAGUUGUAUAUGAGCCAUUGUUGAGAUACCACUCUUUCUUAUUUGGGUAGCUAACCAGCUUGAGUUAUCCUCAAGUGGGACAAUGUCUGGUGGGUAGUUUGACUGGGGCGGUCGCCUCCCAAAUAAUAACGGAGGCUUACAAAGGUUGGCUCAGAACGGUUGGAAAUCGUUCGUAGAGUAUAAAGGUAUAAGCCAGCUUAACUGCAAGACAUACAAGUCAAGCAGAGACGAAAGUCGGUCUUAGUGAUCCGGUGGUUCUGUGUGGAAGGGCCAUCGCUCAAAGGAUAAAAGGUACCCCGGGGAUAACAGGCUGAUCUCCCCCAAGAGCUCACAUCGACGGGGAGGUUUGGCACCUCGAUGUCGGCUCAUCGCAUCCUGGGGCUGGAGCAGGUCCCAAGGGUAUGGCUGUUCGCCAUUUAAAGCGGUACGCGAGCUGGGUUCAGAACGUCGUGAGACAGUUCGGUCCCUAUCUGCCGUGGGCGUAAGAAGAUUGAAGAGAUUUGACCCUAGUACGAGAGGACCGGGUUGAACAAACCACUGGUGUAGCUGUUGUUCUGCCAAGAGCAUCGCAGCGUAGCUAAGUUUGGAAAGGAUAAACGCUGAAAGCAUCUAAGCGUGAAGCCAACUCUAAGAUGAAUCUUCUCUAAGCUCUCUAGAAGACUACUAGUUUGAUAGGCUGGGUGUGUAAUGGAUGAAAGUCCUUUAGCUGACCAGUACUAAUAGAGCGUUUGGCUUAUCUUUAAUAAAGCAU